rnacentral:rRNA from 1 species
GACGAACGCUGGCGGCGUGCCUAAUACAUGCAAGUAGAACGAGUUGCGAACGGGUGAGUAACGCGUAGGAACCUGCCUCAUAGCGGGGGAUAACUAUUGGAAACGAUAGCUAAUACCGCAUACUUCGUAAUGGACCUGCGUUGUAUUAGCUAGUUGGUGAGGUAACGGCUCACCAAGGCGACGAUCCCUAGCUGGUCUGAGAGGAUGACCAGCCACACUGGAACUGAGACACGGUCCAGACUCCUACGGGAGGCAGCAGUGGGGAAUAUUGCACAAUGGGCGCAAGCCUGAUGCAGCCAUGCCGCGUGUAUGAAGAAGGCCUUCGGGUUGUAAAGCACUUUAAGUUGGGAGGCGUUACCAACAGAAUAAGCACCGGCUAACUCCGUGCCAGCAGCCGCGGUAAAC